UACGUAGGGGGCAAGCGUUGUCCGGAAUCAUUGGGCGUAAAGAGCGCGUAGGCGGCCCUGUAAGUCCGCUGUGAAAGUCAAGGGCUCAACCCUUGGAUGCCGGUGGAUACUGCAGGGCUAGAGUCCGGAAGAGGCGAGUGGAAUUCCUGGUGUAGCGGUGAAAUGCGCGGAUAUCAGGAGGAACACCGAUGGCGAAGGCAGCUCGCUGGGCCUUACCUGACGCUGAGGAGCGAAAGCGUGGGGAGCGAACAGG
rnacentral:rRNA from 1 species